UUCGUACUUGGCACUCUAUCCAGCCACCUUCUUCCUCACAACCCUCUCUUUGGCACCACGCCUGGCUAGUUGGCCUAAAGUAGGGGACCGAAGGCCUCCGGAAUAGACAGUGCACCUGUGUCCGGGCAUAGCUCCUAAAUGAAGAAGAUCCUGGACACUCACCUGGGCUGACUCACACUCGAUUCCUGCCUUUCUAACUUACAGCUGCAAUCAGUUCAAAAAGCUGUAAUCAGUUCAAAAUCACUUUUAAGACCCAGCUCCUAUUGGAAUCUAAAUAAUUAGCAGCUCUUAAAAGGCUCUUGUAGGAGCGUGUCGCAGCCGAUGUCUGAUAGGAUGGCGCGGCCCAGCGCCAGCCUGCACUGCAGUCUUUCAGCGUAAUUGUCGCUGUGGUGUUCACAGCCCGCACUUCUAUUUUGCACAUUCCAGUUUAAAGAAGCCUCUUCCUUACCUUUCUUUGUCUGCUUUGGAGCGAAGUGACUGCCUCUUUGAUCCUUUCUAACUCAGACCGGCGGGGAGAAACAGAGGGAGGACUGUGCGCCAUCAUCAACGAGGUGGCGACUCAGGAGUCCACCCUCAGCACCCAUGUCGGCACCCACGCCCCUUGGGCAACCAGAGAUCAACCAGGGAUCCAGAAAUCUGCCAUGAAGGGGUGGGGACCUGGAUACCAUGCCCAGAGAGUCUGUCUGGACCAAAGGAGUAAAGAAUGAAUCUCAGAUUGAA